GUGGGGAAUCUUCCGCAAUGGACGAAAGUCUGACGGAGCGACGCCGCGUGAGUGAAGAAGGCCUUCGGGUCGUAAAGCUCUGUCAUCAGGGACGAAUGGCCGGUGGAGUGGAAAGCCACCGGAUUGACGGUACCUGAGAAGGAAGCCACGGCUAACUACGUGCCAGCAGCCGCGGUAAUACGUAGGUGGCAAGCGUUGUCCGGAAUUAUUGGGCGUAAAGCGCGCGCAGGUGGGAUCUUAAGUCCAUUUUGAAAGUUCGGAGCUCAACUCCGUGAUGGGAUGGAAACUGGGAUUCUUGAGUACCGGAGAGGAAAGCGGAAUUCCCCGUGUAGCGGUGAAAUGCGUAGAUAUGGGGAGGAACACCAGUGGCGAAGGCGGCUUUCUGGACGGUGUCUGACACUGAGGCGCGAAAGCCAGGGGAGCGAACGGGAUUAGAUACCCCAGUAGUCC
rnacentral:rRNA from 1 species